rnacentral:rRNA from 1 species
UGGGGAAUUUUGGACAAUGGGGGCAACCCUGAUCCAGCGACGCCGCGUGAAGGAUGAAGGUCUUCGGAUUGUAAACUUCUUUUAGAGGGGAUGAAUGGCCUGGUGAAUAGCCAGGUAUGACAGUACCCUUUGAAUAAGCCACGGCUAACUACGUGCCAGCAGCCGCGGUAAUACGUAGGUGGCAAGCGUUACUCGGAAUCACUAGGCGUAAAGCGCAGGUAGGAGGUUUAGUAAGUCUGUUGUGAAAGCUCCCGGCUUAACUGGGAGAGGUCAACGGAAACUGCUAGGCUGGAGUGCGGUAGAGGUAGCUGGAAUUCCCGGUGUAGCGGUGAAAUGCGUAGAUAUCGGGAGGAAUACCUAUGGCGAAAGCAGGCUACUGGACCGUCACUGACUCUGAUCUGCGAAAGCUAGGGGAGCAAACAG